UGCUUAUCUGCGAUAUGGAAGAUUCGAACCUGCCGCAGGUUCGGGUCGAACGCAGUGAGACAACGGAGCCGUUUACGGCGACGGCCCGAAGGGCGAGCGAAGCGAGUCAUCCUGCACGACCCACCA
rnacentral:sRNA from 1 species